GAUAACUGAGCAGGGUAUUGAUCCACGAGUACGGCACAGUAUGUCAUUAGGAGUCAUUUUGUUCCUUUCUUUAAAAGUUUGGUUUUAUCCUUAGUCCUUGAGCUACCUUGUCUCAGGUUCUUGGCCAUCCAAGCCGUGCUGCCUGUGGGUUCUGUCUCAUGGAGUGGGCCUUAAGUCAACUCAGACAUCGGUUGGUCCUUCCCACAAGCUUCGUGCCAUCGUUAAAUUCGUGUAUCUUACAGGCCCAUUGUCGAUCAAAGGGUUUGAAGCUGGGGUUGAUGUUCACGUUUUUCCUUUUGUAGACUACGGAGUAAUUUCCUGCAUCAAUGACACUAGCUUGUAGGGAUGAAGGCUCUGUGUAGGCACCAGAUGGACGUCCCCAUGCUCAAUGAGUUGUGUAGGUGUUGUCUUCAGCAGUGGGGCCUUGAUGACAGUUUGUGGAGAGCAACCUGUAUAUAGCCUUGGCGACAGCCUGGAUUAUUUGGGGAUUCCCAUAGGACCUCUUUGGCCAAUAACUCUUUUAAAUGUAACCCAAUUCCAGUACUGGAAAUUUCAUUUAGUUACACAGAUGUCCAUCCGGGGCCCUGCCUUUCUUGUUAUUUGGCAAUGUCGUUUACAGUCCCUUCAUGUAUGUAUGUAUUUUACAAAGCUUCUACUGUAUUAGGUUUUCAUACUACCCACCAAAUGGCCCUUAAUUUUGUCUCCCCCAUAUUUCCUCCUCCUUCCUUUCCUUCCCUUCUCCUCCCCACUUCACCCUCCCAUUCCAGCUCUCCUCCAACCCAUCUAUAACUCUAUUCUAUUUCCCCUUCCUAGGGAGAUCCAGUUCUUUAUCUGUGCCUAGUCGUGGAUUGUAGCUGGGUUAUCAUUACGUAUUGACUUCACACGUAAUAUCCACAUGUAUGUGACCCCAUACCGUCUUUGUCUUUCUAGGUCUGAAUUGCCUCACUCAGGAUGAUUUGUUUCCAGUUCCAUCCAUUUACCUGCAGGUUUCAGGAUUUCAUUUUUUAAUGGUGGAGUAAUACUCCAUUACGUAAAUCUGCCACUCAUCUGUUGGGGACAUCUAGGGUGUUUCAGGUUUCUGGAUAUUGUGAAUAGAGAAGCAUCUCUGUGGUAGGAUGAAGUUUCAUUUGGUAAUAUGCCCGAGAGUGGUACAGCUGGACCUUGAGGUAGAUCUAUUCCCACCUUCCUGGGGAACUGUGACACUGAUUUCCAUGGUGGCUGUACACGUUUGCAGUCCCAUCAGCAAUGGAGGAAAGUUCCCCCUACUCUACAUCCUCACCAUCAUGAGCUGUCAUUUGUUUCAUUGAUCUUAGCCAUUCUGAUGGGCAUAAGAUGAAAUCACAAAGUAGUUUUGAUUUGCAUUUCCCCGAUGACUAAGGAUGUUGAACAUUUCUUUAAGUCAGACCAAGGCAAUUUAAACAAAGUUUCACUCCUGCCAAUCUAGGAGAGCAGGGCGGCUGGCCUGACCCAGAGAUGCUAAUGAGCUCGUCUGGGAAGCUUGGUGUCUGGCUUGGCAGGGAGGCCUUGCUAAGGCACUCAGCAUCUCAGCAUCGCCCCCAGGGAGAUGGGAAGAGGUAUGCUCAGCUGCAGCAGCCCAGGGAAGGCGGAGGGCUUUUGUGCCAACUGGCUUGAAGAGACAGUCUGGAAGACAGGUUCACAGAGCCAACCUCUGAGAAGACACAGCCUCCUGGGGCAGUACUUGCCAAUAUGCUUAAGGGAAGCUGGCACCUCUGGUAACCCAAGAGCUGUUUACAGACACAGCAGUGAGAGAGCCUGGGAGCAGCUCCUUGAACAGACUGAGGUCUGCGCUCCCUUCCCAGACCCAUGCACAUACAGCCGUAACUCGAGGGUAUAAAAAUACAAUGCCAGUGGUACUAGAGAGACUGAGAAUGUGACGCUCCUCCUCGUGACCCAACUACAAGUAAACAGCUGGGGAGGGGCAGAGCGAACUCCCAAUCUACUCUAGAAUGUUCGCUGUGAUGAAUUUGAUGCCAGAAAAUAAAUAAAUAAAACCAUGGGUGUGUUUCCCUGGAGGAAA